GAUGAACGCUAGCGGGAGGCCUAACACAUGCAAGCCGAGCGGUAUUGUUUCUUCGGAAAUGAGAGAGCGGCGUACGGGUGCGUAACACGUGUGCAACCUGCCUUUAUCUGGGGGAUAGCCUUUCGAAAGGAAGAUUAAUACUCCAUAAUAUAUUGAACGGCAUCGUUUAAUAUUGAAAGCUCCGGCGGAUAGAGAUGGGCACGCGCAAGAUUAGCUAGUUGGUGAGGUAACGCCUCACCAAGGCGAUGAUCUUUAGGGGGCCUGAGAGGGUGAUCCCCCACACUGGUACUGGGACACGGACCAGACUCCUACGGGAGGCAGCAGUGAGGAAUAUUGGUCAAUGGGUGCAAGCCUGAACCAGCCAUCCCGCGUGAAGGACGACUGCCCUAUGGGUUGUAAACUUCUUUUGUAUAGGGAUAAACCUACCCUCGAGAGGGUAGCUGAAGGUACUAUACGAAUAAGCACCGGCUAACUCCGUGCCAGCCGCCGCCGUAACAC
rnacentral:rRNA from 1 species